rnacentral:rRNA from 1 species
UGUGGCCUACGGGGCGCAGCAGUGGGGAAUAUUGGGCAAUGGGCGCAAGCCUGACCCAGCGACGCCGCGUGAGGGAAGACGGUCUUCGGAUUGUAAACCUCUUUCAGCAGGGAAGACAAAAGGACGGUACCUGCAGAAGAAGCCACGGCUAACUACGUGCCAGCAGCCGCGGUAAUACGUAGGUGGCAAGCGUUAUCCGGAUUUAUUGGGUUUAAAGGGUGCGUAGGCGGAUUUUUAAGUCAGCGGUAAAAUGUCCGGGCUCAACCCGGGCCGGCCGUUGAAACUGGUGAUCUUGAGUGGGCGAG